GAUGAACGCUGGCGGCGUGCCUAAUACAUGCAAGUCGAACGCACAGCGAAAGGUGCUUGCACCUUUCAAGUGAGUGGCGAACGGGUGAGUAACACGUGGACAACCUGCCUCAAGGCUGGGGAUAACAUUUGGAAACAGAUGCUAAUACCGAAUAAAACUCAGUGUCGCAUGACACAAAGUUAAAAGGCGCUUUGGCGUCACCUAGAGAUGGAUCCGCGGUGCAUUAGUUAGUUGGUGGGGUAAAGGCCUACCAAGACAAUGAUGAAUAGCCGAGUUGAGAGACUGAGCGGCCACAUUGGGACUGAGACACGGCCCAAACUCCUACGGGAGGCUGCAGUAGGGAAUCUUCCACAAUGGGCGAAAGCCUGAUGGAGCAACGCCGCGUGUGUGAUGAAGGCUUUCGGGUCGUAAAGCACUGUUGUAUGGGAAGAACAGCUAGAAUAGGGAAUGAUUUUAGUUUGACGGUACCAUACCGGAAAGGGACGGCUAAAUACGUGCCAGCCGCCGCGGUAA
rnacentral:rRNA from 1 species